rnacentral:misc_RNA from 1 species
AUUUCAAGCAACUUGGUUUAAAAAUCUUAUUACUUCUGGUGCCAAGCCAUCUAGUAGCGCAGAAAUAGACAAUCAGGAUGAAGAUGUCCAUCUUCGGCAACAAGGUGACCAAGUGUCAGAUUUACCAUCACGGCGGUAUUCACAACAAUGGGAAUCAGAACUACCAGCGCAGCAGAAUUCACGACAUGAUGUAUGAUGAAGAAUUUUGUUAAAGCAUCGUUGUCAGUUGUAUCAGUUGAAACAUAGGCUAUCAGUCGAUUGUGUAUCUUUGUAAAAUUUUCAUUGCUUUUCCA